GCCGAAGUGGCGGAAUUGGCAGACGCACUAGACUCAAAAUCUAGCGGGCUCUGCGCUCGUGCGGGUUCGACUCCCGCCUUCGGCACCA
rnacentral:tRNA from 1 species